UACGGGGGGGGUAAGCGUUGUUCGGAAUUACCGGGCGUAAAGGGCUCGUAGGCGGCCAACUAAGUCAGACGUGAAAUCCCUCAGCUUAACUGGGGAACUGCGUCUGAUACUGGAUGGCUUGGAUUCGGGAGAGGAAUGCGGAAUUCCAGGUGUAGCGGUGAAAUGCGUAGAUAUCUGGAGGAACACCGGUGGCGAAGGCGGCAUUCUGGACCGAUAUUGACGCUGAGGAGCGAAAGCCAGGGGAGCAAACGGG
rnacentral:rRNA from 1 species